UUUUUUCAAGAAAUUGAGGUUUGCGUUUAUUCUACAUUCGAUAUGUUUUCAACAUAUUUCGAUAUAUUUCGAUUUAUUGCUAGACUGUGGAAUAUGUUCUUUCUUUCCUUUAAUCCUUUUCGAUAAUCGAAAUCGAAUCACGAGACGUUACUUUAGUAUCGAUAAUUGUGUAAUAAGUGUUUAGACGUUAUUUUUUCCUUUUUCCAAAGUUUGUGAUUUAUUUGUAGCUGUAGAGUGUUAUUUCCAUAAUUAUUUUUUGUGACUUAUAUAUUUAAUCUAUUACAAGGAUUUUGUAUUACAAAUCGAAAUCGGAUAUCGGCAAAAUUAUUCUUUUUUUUCCUAUUCAUUGUAUUCAUCUAUUUCUUAAAAUUAUAGGUUAUUAAUCGAUUGCUAAUAUAAGUUAAUUUCGAAGAAGAACAUGCAACAUGGAUGCCAUUAUGCCUUUUUAUGGAAACGUGAUAUUUUUCAGCUUUUAUGAUGAUUUUUCAUAGCCCAUAUUGAUGCCAAUGUAAAUUCUUCGCAUCUAUUGGUGAGUCGCAUGCAUUUUUGUUCCUCUGGUCACUCAAUCAUGUCGUAGGAUGAAAAGUCCGAAUCGACACGGGUGCCUGGUUGUAUAUUUAGAUUUUUGUACGAGCACAGUGACCGCGGAUAUUAUUUAUAUCCGUGAAUAGUAAUAUAUCUAUUUUAUAUGUUUUAUUUAUUAGAUUAGGAUAGGUCUUCUUGUAUAU